rnacentral:rRNA from 1 species
UCGUAACAAGGUUUCCGUAGGUGAACCUGCGGAAGGAUCAUUACCGUGGGGAUUCGUCCCCAUUGAGAUAGCACCCUUUGUUCAUGAGUACCCUUGUUUCCUCGGCGGGCUUGCCCGCCAGUAGGACAUCAAAUAAACCCUUUGCAGUAGCAGUACCCUCAGUUAAUAAUAAAUAUUAAAACUUUCAACAACGGAUCUCUUGGUUCUGGCAUCGAUGAAGAACGCAGCGAAAUGCGAUAAGUAGUGUGAAUUGCAGAAUUCAGUGAAUCAUCGAAUCUUUAAACGCACAUUGCGCCCUUCGGUAUUCCGUUGGGCAUGCCUGUUCGAGCGUCAUUUAAACCUUCAAGCUAUGCUUGGUGUUGGGUGUUUGUUCCGCCUCAGCGCGUGGACUCGCCUCAAAUCCAUUGGCAGCCGGUAUGUUGGCUUCGUGCGCAGCACAUUGCAAGCGAAUCCACCAGACCCCCUUCCAUAAGCCUCUUUUUACUUUGACCUCGGAUCAGGUAGGGAUACCCGCUGAACUUAAGCAUAUCAAUAAGCGGAGGAAAAGAAACCAACAGGGAUUGCCCCAGUAACGGCGAGUGAAGCGGCAAUAGCUCAAAUUUGAAAUCUGGCCCUUUCAGGGUCCGAGUUGUAAUUUGCAGAGGGCGCUUUGGAGUCGGCAGCAGCCUAAGUUCCUUGGAACAGGUCAUCAUAGAGGGUGAGAAUCCCGUAUGUGGCUGCUUGUCUUCGCCGUGUAAAGCCCCUUCGAUGAGUCGAGUUGUUUGGGAAUGCAGCUCUAAAUGGGAGGUAAAUUUCUUCUAAAGCUAAAUAUUGGCCAGAGACCGAUAGCGCACAAGUAGAGUGAUCGAAAGAUGAAAAGUACUUUGGAAAGAGAGUCAAAAAGCACGUGAAAUUGUUGAAAGGGAAGCGCUUGCAGCCAGACGUGCCCGCAGUUGCUCAUCCGGGGUUUUCCCCGGUGCACUCUUCUGUGGGCAGGCCAGCAUCAGUUCGGGCGGUUGGAGAAAGACCUGUGUCACGUAGCUCUCUUCGGGGAGUGUUAUAGGGCAGGUGGAAUGCAACCAGCCUGAACUGAGGUCCGCGCAUCUGCUAGGAUGCUGGCGUAAUGGCUGUAAGCGGCC